CUGCUCGGCCGGGCGCUCCCCGAUGGGAUAAGCUGUAAAGAUGUUCAGCUUUGAAGGGGACUUCAAGACGCGGCCCAAGCUGUCCCUCGGCGGCGCGAGUCGGAAGGAAGAAAAGGCUUCUCUUUUACAUCGUACUCAGGAAGAAAGAAGAAAGAGAGAGGAAGAAAGGCGAAGACUGAAAAAUGCAGUAAUUAUCCAGUCAUUUAUUCGAGGCUAUAGAGAUAGAAAACAGCAAUAUUCCGUCCAGAGAAGUGCGUUUGAUCGCUGUGCUCGCCUGGCACAGUCUGGCGGCUCCUUCCCCAUUGCUAAUGGUCCCAACCUUACCCUUUUGGUGAGGCAGCUUCUGUUUUUUUACAAACAAGAUGAAGACUCAAAACGUUUGAUAUGGCUGUAUCAGAACUUAAUUAAACACAGUGCACUGUUUGUCAAGCAGUUGGAUGGAUCCGAGAGACUUACAUGCUUAUUUCAAAUCAAGAGAUUGAUGAGCCUCUGUUGCAGGUUGCUGCAAAACUGUAACGACACAGUUUGAAUGUUGCACCUCCAAUGAGAAAGCUCCAGGUGUUUUCAUCUGAGAACACUUACUUGCCUGUUUUACAAGAUGCUAGCUAAGUGGUAUCAGUAAUUGAACAAAUUUUGCACUACAUGAUUCAAAAUGGGUAUUAUAGGUCUCUCUAUUUGUUGAUUAACAGCAAACUUCCAUCAAGUAUUGAAUAUUCUGAUUUAUCUCGAGUUCCUAUAGCAAAAACUUUGCUAGAGAAUGUUCUAAAACCAUUGCACUUUACUUACAACUCCUGUCCCGAAGGUGCAAGACAACAGAUUUUUAAGGCCUUCACAGAGGAGUUUGUAGCAGCACCUUUUACAGAUCAGAUCUUUCAUUUUGUCAUUCCGGCAUUAGCAGACGUGCAGACCAGCUUCCCUUACGAGCCCUUUCUGAGUGCACUGUUGCUCACAGAGAGGAGGUGUUCACAGAGGAGCAGGGGAGCACCGUGGCUUUUCUAUUUUGUUUUAACUGUUGGUGAAAAUUACUUGGGGGCUCUCUCUGAGGAAGGCCUGCUGGUAUAUUUACGGGUGCUCCAGACCUUUCUUCCUCAGUUACCAGUCUCGCCUGCCAGCGCCAGCUGUCAAGACUCAGCCAGUGACUCUGAGGAGGAGAGUGAAGAGGCCAAGAAGCCCUCAAGCCCUGAGGAUGGUAGACUAUCAAUACCAUACAUCACAGAGGAGUGCCUCAAAAAGCUGGAUACCAAGCAGCAGACCAAUACGCUGUUGAACUUGGUGUGGAGGGACUCGGCCAGUGAAGACGUGUUCACCGGGAUGGCCUCCGUGUGCCACACACUCAUGGUGCAGCGCCACAUGAUGGUGCCCAGAGUCAGGCUCCUCUAUAGUUUAGCCUUCAAUGCCAGGUUUCUGAGACAUCUUUGGUUUCUGAUAUCUUCCAUGACCACACAGAUGAUCACUGGAUCUCUGCUGCCAUUGCUGCAGGUGAUAUCCAGGGGCUCUCCUAUGUCUUUUGAAGAUUCUGGUCGCAUCAUCCCACUAUUUUACCUUUUCAGCUCCUUGUUUAGCCAUUCGCUAAUUUCCAUACACGAUAAUGAAUUCUUUGGUGAUCCCAUAGAAGUUGUAGGUCAGAGACAAUCAUCGAUGAUGCCAUUCACUUCGGAGGAGCUGGUGGUGCUGUCUCGGUGCCUGCAGGACGCCUGCCUGGGCAUCAUCAAGCUGGCCUACCCAGAGACAAAGCCAGAGGUGCGGGAAGAGUACGUCAUAGCGUUUCAGAGUGUUGGAGUCACCACCAGCUCUGAGAUGCAGCAGUGUAUACAGAUGGAGCAGAAACGGUGGAUUCAGUUAUUUAAGGUUAUCACCAAUCUAGUGAAAAUGUUGAAGUCCAGAGACACGAGGAGAAAUUUUUGCCCUCCAAAUCACUGGCUGUCAGAACAAGAAGAUAUUAAAGCAGAUAAGGUCACUCAGCUCUACGUGCCAGCAUCCAGACACGUGUGGAGGUUCCGGCACAUGGGGAGGAUAGGCCCGCUGCAGUCAACUCUGGAUGUGGGUUUGGAGUCCCCACCACUGUUGGUAUCUGAAGAAAGACAACUCGCCAUCCUAACAGAUCUGCCUUUUGUGGUUCCCUUUGAGGAGUGAGUAAAGAUUUUUCAGAAGUUGAUUUAUGCAGAUAAGCAAGAAGUUCAAGGAGAUGGUCCAUUUCUGGAUGGAAUUAAUGUCACAAUAAGAAGAAAUUAUAUUUAUGAAGAUGCUUAUGACAAGCUUUCUCCAGAAAAUGAGCCUGACUUGAAAAAGCGCAUCCGCAUGCACCUGCUCAAUGCCCAUGGGCUGGACGAAGCUGGUAUCGACGGUGGCGGCAUUUUCAGAGAGUUUUUAAAUGAACUACUGAAAUCAGGAUUUAACCCCAACCAGGGCUUCUUUAAGACUACUAAUGAAAGGCUUCUGUACCCCAACCCAGCUGCUCAGAUGCUCGUGGGAGACUCUUUUGCCAGACAUUACUACUUCCUGGGCAGAAUGCUUGGAAAGGCUCUCUACGAGAACACGCUGGUGGAGCUACCCUUCGCAGGCUUCUUCCUCUCCAAGCUGCUAGGGACCAGCGCCGACGUGGACAUUCAUCACUUGGCCUCCUUAGACCCUGAAGUCUAUAAGAACUUGCUGUUUCUCAAGAGCUACGAAGAUGAUGUGGAGGAACUUGGGCUGAACUUCACUGUGGUGAACAAUGACCUGGGAGAG